rnacentral:rRNA from 1 species
GAAUUAUUGGGCGUAAAGAGCUCGUAGGCGGUUUGUCGCGUCUGCUGUGAAAUCCCGAGGCUCAACCUCGGGCCUGCAGUGGGUACGGGCAGACUAGAGUGCGGUAGGGGAGAUUGGAAUUCCUGGGUGUAGCGGUGGAAUGCGCAGAUAUCAGGAGGAACACCGAUGGCGAAGGCAGAUCUCUGGGCCGUAACUGACGCUGAGGAGCGAAAGGGUGGGGAGCAAACAGGCUUAGAUACCCUGGAUAGUCCAGCCCGGUAAACGUUGGGAACUAGUUGUGGGGUCCAUUCCACGGAUUCCGUGACGCAGCUAACGCAUUAAGUUCCCCGCCUGGGGAGUACGGCCGCAAGGCUAAAACUCAAAGGAAUUGACGGGGACCCGCACAAGCGGCGGAGCAUGCGGAUUAAUUCGAUGCAACGCGAAGAACCUUACCAAGGCUUGACAUAUACGAGAACGGGCCAGAAAUGGUCAACUCUUUGGACACUCGUAAACAGGUGGUGCAUGGUUGUCGUCAGCUCGUGUCGUGAGAUGUUGAGUUAAGUCCCGCAACGAGCGCAACCCUCGUUCUAUGUUGCCAGCGCGUAAUGGUGGGAACUCAUGGGAUACUGCCGGGGUCAACUCGGAGGAAGGUGGGGAUGACGUCAAAUCAUCAUGCCCCUUAUGUCUUGGGCUUCACGCAUGCUACAAUGGCCGGUACAAAGGGCUGCAAUACCGUGAGGUGGAGCGAAUCCCAAAAAGCCGGUCCCAGUUCGGAUUGAGGUCUGCAACUCGACCUCAUGAAGUCGGAGUCGCUAGUAAUCGCAGAUC